GGGCCCCUCGGCAGCGGCCCGGCAAGCGCCCCUGACCCCCAGGGCGCAAGGUAGAGCGCCCCCAGCCCAGGCGCGGGGCCAGGCGCCUCUCUCCAAGGUCUCUGGAAGGAAGAGCGAGCAAGGGAGGCUGAGCUGGGCAGAGAGGCUGAAGAGGAUGUUUGAAGCUUCUCUCUUGCUUGAUUCGGAAUACAUUCAUUGGGUUUAGAGUACACAUCCACUAAGAAAGAGUCAAGGCCAAAGUCAAAGGAGAAAAUGGAAUGAGGUAAGAGUUCUUGAGUAUUUGGUUCUCAAAAAGAAGUGUAUGUAAAAGGGAGCUGCAGAAAGUGUGCUCCAGAAAAUGGAAUUGUCUGAGCCUCCUCUCCAUACCAUCCCAUAGUACCUCCAACCUCGGCCUCUGUGUUCAGCCACUCUGAAUGCAU
rnacentral:lncRNA from 1 species